AAGGUGUGGCUGUUGGUCUGGGGUGGAACCAGCAACAGCGGAAGGUCUCCCCAGGAUGGGGUUGUAGGGCUUCUUGAUGCCCUGCAGGCAACGAACAAGAGGCUGGCUGGGACACUGGGGGGCGGGGCGGCCAGGGACGCCAGCUGGGCUGGGCUGAGGACCGAGGGCGGUGAGGGGCUGCCCUGCCCACGGCCCCGCAGGCAGGUCUCUACAAGGGACGCCCGGUUUGCAGCCAGCGUCCGGGAACAACAGCCCACUCCUGCUCCGAGGAGACUGUGCUUUGCCCAUGAUUUCCAUUCGGGGCGGGGAACAGCCUACAAAGUGGCAUGUCCACAUCUCGGCUCUGAGGGCUCUCAAGACCCUGACCGCCAGACACUCUCCCGGACGCCCGGGAAGCCACUGCGCCGCCCACUCAAAGCCCCAGUGGCUUCUACUGAUCUUUCAAGUGGGGACCCAAGUCCUCCCGCACAUCCUGCCCCCAGCUCUGCUUCAGCCACACUCACGUCCUUUCUGCUCCCCAAACAGUCCAAGUUCAUCGGGAACAAUCUCCCUGUCUGGAGAGCCUCCUCCCGGGUCUCCUGUAGCCCAGCUCAGACUCCCUCUCCCCAUCUGAUGUCCGUCAACUGCAGCUGUGUGCACACUGCCUCACCCUGGAGACCGGGCUCUGUGACGGUCUGCAGAGCCCAGAGGUGUGCCUGCGCGUCCACAGCUCCACACUCUGCCCAUCAGUCCUUCUCUGACCCAAGCUUCCUAGAGCCAGCUCUGAGCCGACUCCUGCAGCAGCCAGUGUGCUGUCCUGGGUAGGUAACCUGGCACACGGGCCCCUCCUCGGAGAAGUCCUCCGGAGUGCGCCCACUGUCCCAAUGGCCGCUGAGCGCGCACACCUGGCUUUGCCCAGGGUCUGCGUCAGAAUGCAGAAAGCCCCAGGAAGAGUGGGGAGACCUGGUCCCAUUUGCAAACUGCUGUGUGACUCUGGGCCUUCCCUCCCCUCUCUGAGCCUCAGUUUCCUCCUGCACAGUGGAACUAGAAUCCUGGGUCCCAUGGGACCCCAGGCCCUCCCAUCACUACAGCCAGAGGAGCCCUGCUCUCAUCAGAGACCCGGAUUUGGUUCUCAAGAGACGCUUCAUGCCCAAAACCCUUGGGUCCCCAGGGUUCCUUGAGGUUCGGGGUCCAGAGUCCCUGCCUUGGCACUGCUGUGUGGCAGCUGUUUCUCUGAGGUGCGGAGGGCCCAGCUCGGGCCUUUCAGGGAUCGGGACGACCCUGUGACCAGGCCCACCAGCGGUCCCUCGGUGGGAAGUCCGGGCCCGCCCCCAUCUCUGAGGACCCACGGGACAAUCCUGGGGUGGAGGAUGCCCCUCACCCCGACUGCAGGCAGGGGUGGGUGCCGGGCGGGCUGAGUGGACCUCCGCUGGCCGCCCCCAUGCCUCCCAGAAGGUGCUCUCACCUUGGGCUUCUUGUAGAAGCCAGACAGGUACCAUCGCAGCACGAGCUUGAUGCGGCCAGGCGUCCUCCUCCAGCGCAGCCCUGCAACCACACCACGGGCGGGAGUCCUCACCCAGGUCGGGGACCUGGGCCUCUCCUCCCUUUCCCGGGCUCCUCCCUCCUUCUGUUUCAAUCUCCAUCGGCUUGUUGAAACCCAGGCCCUUCCCAAGCUGCCCUGUCCCGAUGAUGGGAAGUGUGUGUGUGUGUGUGUGUGUGUGUGUGUGUGUGUGUGGUGGUGGCGGGGCAGCUCCACCACCGGGCAGCGAGGGUGCGGCUGGCUCGAGGCUGGCAAGGUGCCGCCUCCAGGAAACCGCCGGGAUCCUCUCCCUUCACCUAGCUCCCUGUGCAUGGGCUCCUGAGCCUUCAGGCCCCUUUCCAACCUCAGCCUGUUCAGCCUGAGGGCACAGUGCCAGGGCUCAGGUGCAGAGGGUGCUAGGCCCCUGAGACAGGGGCCCUGAUGGACAUGGGCGGCCCUGCCCUCCCGGCCCAGCAGCCCUCCCGGAGUCGGGGCCUCGGAGGCAGAGCGUGCAGGGGCCGGGACGCCUGCAUCCUCGGGCGGGUGCGGGCCCUCCCAUGGCACACCUGGAGAGCAGGUCGGCGUGGCAGUAGUAGUCGGAGAGCUUGUUGAGGAACGAGCGUGGCUCGAGCACGAAGGUGGGCAGUGCCACGCGAGACAGGUCCAUGCCCGCCGCAGCUGCUUCAGCAGGACCCACACCAGGCUCUUAUUCUCCUCCGACACCGUCUCCACCUGUGAUGCCUCGCCCGCUGAGGGCAGAGGGGCCGGUCAGGCCAGAGCCGGACGGGCGGGAGCCUCGGCGCCCAGGGGCCGCGAGGCGCACUGCCACCUCAUCCGGGUCCCCCAGCCCCAUGCCCAGUGAGCCUGUCCGGGCCCCACCUGACCCCUGCCUACUCCGCAUGUGUCCCCUGGGCCCAGAGGGGCGCCUGCUGGCCCCGCCAGCUGCCCUGUGCCUCGGUUCCUGGCCAGCCCAGACUACCUGGGCGCCUCUGUGCCUCCAGUCUGUGCCCGCCUGACACCUGUCUCUGCACACUUCUGUGCCACAGCAGCAGGGGCACGUGCUCUGAACACCUCGUCCGCCCCAGCCCGUCU
rnacentral:lncRNA from 1 species